UGAAUAACUGAGGAAGUCCAAGGCUGAACAAAGAAAAGACUGACCCCUACAGAAACAUCAUCCACAGAAUCCCCCUCCCACCCCUCCAAAAAAGACACUACAAUCAGGUGUUUCUGGCUCUGGAGCUGUGGAAUCUGAAACUGCCCCCCUGUUCCUGCUUGACCCCCAUCAGCUUGACACCUGCUUAUUAGUCCUAUUGUUAUUACCUAGCUAGCCACUACUCCGCUGAAGGUGGCUAAAGGCUCGUGCAGACUACACGACUUUCAGCGUCGGCCGAUGGCCGCGCCGUCCACACUACAUAACUUGCCGUCAUGUGACGGGAGUCUUGAAGUUGUUGUGGCGUUCACACUACGUGACUGAUCAGUGACGGGGGUCACACACUAUGCAAGCUGACCGGCAAAUCUGGCUUAGAAUUGUGUAUUGUGAACUAGGCUUAAUCCAACUGUAGUGACAGAGGUUACUCCUUCAAAUGUUAGCUGACUUCUGUAAAAUUACAACGUUAGGCAAGUUAAAAUUAGCUGCGCCCCGUCAGGAUAGUGGACGAGCAGACCCUGCAGCAACAGAAGCAGUUUUGAAAUAGCUGUCAAAUUUGCCUGUGUUUACUGUCCUCUUUACUGUGAUCACAUGAUUAACAAUAUCAUUAGCUUCACUGAGCGCCAAUCAAAUUCAAGGGUGGCCAACCACAGACAUAACUCUCAUCAUGUAUCCAUGAAUCGCAUGCAUUUGAUGUAAAUCAAACAGGAGCUCAAUGGCUCUGUCUGAUCUUAGCAUCAAAAACAAACAAAACAUUGACUUGUUUUGAAGUUUUUUUGAAGCUACACAUAGCUAAGAAUGCUCUAGAAUAAACAGAAAAUUUUACAAGUUUGAGAAUAGCCUAGAUGUUUAUACAGGCCACAAAGACAAGGACAUACAUGUUACCUUAAGAUCUCUUUGAUCUCAUCUCUUUUAAAUUAUUUAUGGUCAUAUUCAAAUUAUUUAUGGUCAUAUUCAAAUAUUCAAAAAUGAAAUAGGCUACUAAUUCGAAUAAUACCCCAUUCAUCUUUCAUGAUUUAUUGCAGGACAUUUUGAGGAAACUACUUCAAAAAUCCCUAAAGCAGAAGCAGAUAGUGAGGAGGAGAGGAUGAGAAAACUAUAUCUGGAGGAGCUGUUUGCCUCACUGGAUGCAGAGUUUCAGGCAGGCAGUUUCACUGAGGAGUGGGCAGAUAAUAGCUUCUGUCUUCAAGAAUCUGUAGCUCAAAGGAACAAACAGGAUGAGGGCAGGGUGAUGAGGGGUGAUGACAGUGAGGAGGAUGAUGAUGAGAGGGAUGCUACCUAUGUACCAGAGGAUGGGGGUGACAAUGGUGAAGAUGGUGAUUCCAGGGAUGGGGAGGCGUUGUGGACCAAUGUGUAGGAAGAAUUGCAUUAAAAAUUCACAGAGGAUCAAAGGAGACAGACAUUGACAUCAUAUCGGAACAUGUCCUAUAGUGUGAAAAAAGAGCUGUAUUUUCCAUAUGAUGACCCCGGCCAGCAACAUGAAGUCUGUAAAACAACAUAGACUUAGACUGAUCAUCACUGUCACUGGAAAUACAAUCUCCUCAAGUCUAACGCCCCACAAGAACGCAGAGGAAGGCAUACUUCCAUCAAUAAAAUGGGUCCAAUAUUUGAACUCACUCAAUCAUUUAAUCCCACUUCCCGCCAUUACAGACUGAGCAUGCACUGCGACGUCAGCUUUCAGUUGAUGUUCAAAGAUUACAAGGGAAAAAAGUCACUCAAAUGUUCCUAUGAAACAUAUAGUAAGGCUGUGAAGGAGAGGAACGUUAGCUUCACUAAGCUGGGUCCACGUCAGAGCAGAGCACCAGGCUGAAACCAGCGUUCACGAAUGUCACCCCUGUCAAAAGCUUGAGGAUUUUCAGAAUGUCAUCGCCUCCUCCGACUCUGGGAAAGUCAAUGUGGUGGUCCCUCACUGGCUAAACUAAAGAAGGACCCAAAUCUGUCUGUCGUGGCUGUUAUUCAGCUGAGAUGGGGAUCAGGAGACAUGUUCUUCAAACUCUUGCAUGAUGAAGAGGAGUUCACACAACUGGACUUCCUCAUGAAGAAGGAGACUCUGGAGGAUCCGAAACAGCUGCGACCUGGAGACAAGUGGAUAGAGAAGGAGAAGAAGUCAGUUUUGGGAUAACCUGGCUGAGGAGGAGUGAAUAUUUGAGCACACACCAAUGUAUACCUAGAUUACCUACUUGGUUGUUGUUCUUCUAUUGUUUAAAUUGUGUUUAACUAGUAUAUUUAAAGCAACCUUGGUCUGUAAUGGAUUACUUUUUGAUUAAAAUGAA